AACACAAAUUACCUGCUCUCCCAGUGAUUAGUCACGUGCAAAAAGCUUUGUCCAAUUCUUUGAAAAGGUGAGAUUUUUUUUUUCUUUUUGCGGUUUUUGAAGUUUGGUUGAAUUUAGAAAUUCGAAGGAAUAAACUAAGAGCCUGAAUUAAAUGUUUUGAAAUAUACAUACAUAAAACAAAAGACACUAGUAUUUCUUUCACUUUUAUCAGUACGCAUAGAGAAGGAAGCAGAGUAUGUGUUUCCAAAACGUGACUUGGAAAGCUGUAAGACCUCUAUGUCUUCUUGUUGUUGUUGUUGUUGUUAACAGAAGUAAAUUUUUUCAGACCCACCACCACAGAAGUGGCCAGACUCCCAAACCAGCAUUUCCAGCUACUGGCUGGAUGGUGUACACCAGGCCAAUUCUUUAUGAGAAUAUAUUAAAAGUCACCCCUGUGGAUUCCUACAAAGUACUUCCCCUUGCGGGGAGGGGAGAGGCUUACUAUCCCUUUGGUCUUGAGACCAGCACAGUUGUAGAUAAUAUCCUGAAAAGGUUAUUAUUAAAUUCUUUCGGGUAAUGCCCCUUUACAAAUAUUGUUAAACAUUCAUUUACAGAAGAACUUAAAUCUCAAUUUCAAGGGUAGCAUAAGACUAUCGCUUUAAUUUUAUUGUAUCUUUCGCAAGUUAAAAAAAAAUAACAAAGCCAUUCGCUGAUGCUACAGAAUAAAAGAAAGGGAGGCUGCUAAGGUAAUUUCAGCCUGGUAGAAUUCACGUUGCAUGCAUGCUGCAUAAAGUUUCACGCUAUCCAGAUAAGACUAUUCACUGAAUCUUUUAGACUAGAAUCGAGACAAAUAAAAUGCAUUUUAGCUUGCGUGGAAUGUCCUAGCUUCCUAGAGGCUAGGGUUCGAUGUCUUGUUUGUCAAGACAUAAAGGGAUUAAUGACAUACCUACUGUGUUCUAGACCACAGAGUGGGCACAGAGGGAUGAAAAAAUAAAAAUUCCUGCCCUUGAGGAGCUCACAGUCUACAGCUGUCAAUAAUAACAUCUAACAUUUAUUAAAUACUAUCACCUAGGCACUGAUCUAAAAGCUUUAUGUCAACUCAGUUAAUACUACCAACAACUCUUUGACAUCACUGGAAAUUCCAUAUGCUGAAUUCACAUGGAAUUAAAUGGAAAUCUACAAAGUAGCCAGUCUACUGGGUCUGUAGUGGUCAACCUAUUAAAAAUGGUUUUUAAUUUCUAAAGUACUUUAUGCCAAAUAUAACAUGUUUAUGGUAUAUGCCUGACUGUAGAAUUAUAACUCAGGGGAAUAACGACUUAUUUAAAUGUAACAGAUCUAUUCAUAGUCUGUAAAGAACAAUUCAUCCUCUGAUCUUGUUUUUCAGAUUAAGCAGUGUGUUUAUUAAAAAUCAUCAUCAUUGCCAUACUAAAAAGAUCUUUAGAUUGCUGCUAAUCUGAUUCUGCAUUUUAACUGCCUUAAAUUCUACAUUCACUUGCAAGUGGGGGCCACAGUCAGGUUGGCAACAAGUUUUGCAGACAAAAGGAAAUCCUGGUUGUAAAUCCCAUGAUAUAUUGUACUCAGUUUUGUAUAUGAUACUGUCUAAUGUGCUGUGCUGCCUUAUUAAAGAACUCGAUGUCCAUUUGGUUUACAUUAGAGGGAAACUUAACUGCAGCUUAACAUAUUGUUCAUUUUCAACACUGUCACGUUACAUUCGUGGGGAGCAGAUUUUAAUUUCUUUAUCAGUAAUCAACUGGAAGUUUCUUUUUGUUAAAUUAAAGCAAGAAAGGUUUUAAAAUAAAGGGCAUGGGGGUAGGACGCCACCUUUUGGUGAUAAAACAAAUAGAAAUCCCUUUUGAAAACAGAUGUUCCUGACAUAAUUUUAUUUUUAAUUACACCAAGGCAAAGGUGCUUGUCCCCAUUUCGUUAUAUUUUAAGUAACAGGAGAAAAAAAAAACCAAUGUAAAUGCAAAAUUAGCAAAUUAUAGUUAACUGCAGCCAAAAUUUUCCCAAAGGUAUCAGAAUAUGUUAGUCCCCUGUCACAUUACUGUUGAUUAUAUACACCAAACGUGAGCUUCAUUCACCAAAUACCAUGUCACUAAAUAUAUGUACAUUUGGGGAACAGAAACUGGAGUGGACAUUUACCACCUGAUGAUGUACCUGAAUGCUCUUGUAAGUUUUGAGUUGAACAAAAACUAAAACCACUUAAUUUAGUGUUUCUUUAACCACAGUUACCGGUGUCCUGAUUUUUGCCAUAUCUAUAUAACAUAACACUUCCCGAAUAAUUAAUAUACUAUACUCAUUGGAGGCCACUUAUUAUGGUAAUUGUAGCAAACAUUUUCAUUUAAAUCAACCUACUUUUAAUUUUUUUCUGUUACUGCCUUAAAUGGGAAAUCAGUAUCACCCACCAUAAAUUAAAAACAAGCACAGUAAAAACAAAGUCACUGAUUUCUCUUUGAGGGUCAAAACAAAAAUUAAAAAUGAUUUUUG
rnacentral:lncRNA from 1 species